UACGAAGGGGGCUAGCGUUGCUCGGAAUUACUGGGCGUAAAGGGCGCGUAGGCGGCACUGUUAGUCAGGCGUGAAAUUCCUGGGCUCAACCUGGGGGACUGCGCUUGAUACGGCAGAGCUUGAGGAUGGAAGAGGGUCGCGGAAUUCCCAGUGUAGAGGUGAAAUUCGUAGAUAUUGGGAAGAACACCGGUGGCGAAGGCGGCGACCUGGUCCAUUACUGACGCUGAGGCGCGACAGCGUGGGGGAGCAAACAGG
rnacentral:rRNA from 1 species